GUUUAAAAAUGUUUUUAAAAAAAUGUAUGUGGGAUUGUCUACGUGACUUGGACCUCGUCUGUCUGAUUCAACAACCAUAUAAGUGGGAAGUUCAGCAAACAUUUUAAGAAGCCGAACACUUGUGAAGAAGCUGAAGAAGCUGAAGAAGAGUCUUUGACCUCACCAAAGGAAAAAAAAAAUGUCUGGAUUUUUCAAGAUGCUGAAAAAAAGGAAAGAACUCAUGCCUCUUAUUGGAAUUAUGACGUUUGCUGCAACAGGAGCCACCUCUGUUGGUAUUUAUUUCUUGACAACAAAACCAGACGUAAUUCUUUUUAAGUCCAAAAAUCCAGAACCCUGGGAAACCCUAGAUCCCUCCAAACCUCAGAAGCUUUUAACUAUCAACCAACAGUGGAAACCAGUGGAGGAAGUACAGAUUGUGAAAGGCUUGAUGAAGUGAAGCCCUGCUGUCCAUCCAUCCAUCAGUUUAAACAUUCAUCACCCCCCCCCCACCCCCCCCUUGCUGGGUUUCUGAGCGUCACACCCUCUGCCUGCACCCUGUCAAUCUAACGGAAUCAUUUCUGCACAGACUAGACUCAUUGAAAAACCAGUGUGCGGAAAUGCUUCUGCUACUUUGGUAGGGUUUGAUCACGAACAGGUCUGUCCGCCUCAUAGGGUCUGAAACUCGAGGACUAACAUCAAAAGCAAUCGCCGCACAGCUGGGAAGACAGGAGGCUAGCUUCACAUAAAACGCUACAUGACCAGCCAAGAUAGACAAAGCUGUUUCAACACAUCCUGAAACCAACACCCACAGUGACAUCAGAGAAAGCUGGAGUGUGUUACACCCUCUGCCGUUUCCUCAUUGCUGCAGACUGCUGAGAAACUGAGCCUUUCAAGAAUCCCUGAACCAUUGUGAGUCAGCAAUUUCUCCAGCACUUACAAUGAGUUACUCAAAUACUGUGCUUCAAACCAAUGGGGUUUGGACAAAAACAAGAUGAUCAGCAAUAUGUAGCACACACUUUUGUGGCUUCCUAGCUUGACUGAUUCAUUUGUAAAGCUAAUGAAAUUCCUAAUAUCUAUUUUGUAUAGUAAGGAAUAAAAGCUGCAUUUACCUGCUGCUGGUCAGUUUUACGCAAUGUGCAGACUGUACUGUACAGUAUCUCACUCUUCAAUUUGUUAUUACCAACCACAUUCACAAUCCCAGCGAUCUAAUAGAACACAAUACAAUAUUUGAGUACUACAAAAAUUUUGUGGUAAUGGACAGCAAUUUCUUUUUAAAGCAACAUGGUUUUGAAUCCCACCGCUGCCACCAUACAAUAUGUGUGUCUCGGGACUAUUGAAGGACUCAAUCAGAUAAGCUAAAGAGAAGUUCCUUCAACCAAGCUGGCUUGAGUUCUAUGUAUUAGCCCGGUCUUUACAGCACCCCAUCACAGCAAUACAUGCACACCUAAAUGGGAAUGAAAAUAAUUCCUUAAAUCUGAGUUAUACCUGUGCAAGCAACAAGUCCAGUGUAUAAAAGUGUUUCUCUUUCUGAGUUCACUCCUAUUGGUGUUGUUUAAAAGCACAAUUAGUGAGCAAUCUGACUCAUAUUAAUCUUGUUAAUAUGCAAGAGUCAUACAUAUUACAUGAACUGCAGUGACACGUCUCUUUAAAUGUUAGUACCAGUAUGGAAGGGUAAGUAAAGUGCAGUAAACUCCCUAAACUCUCACGUGAUGUGUGACAGAACAAUGAAACAAUGACCCUGCUGUUGCUGUAGCCUGUAAAAGUAUUUUAAAAUCCCAAGACACUCAUGCAACACAGCCAUGGAAAUCCCCUGCGUCCUGGAGUCAUGCAUUACAAACAGUGUAGUAGUGAACGCCAGGGCAUUUGUUAACACAUGUCAUGCUGGUUAUUGCAAAUCUGUUUCCACUUGCUACAACAUGUUGGUACAGCUAUGAUUCCAGGAGGAGGGAUGUGGGGACUUUACCAUAUGAACUAAUGUGGAGUAAAAACAUUCAUUUCUGGUAUGUGUACAAUUUAGUAUCUUUACAUUGUAUUUUUUAAUUUUACAUUUCUGCAGCUCUGUUUUCCCUACUAUAUCUAUCUAUCUAUCUUAUAUAUAUAUAGGGGAUACUGUGUUUUAAUAUUUAGAAAACAAUACCAAGCCUACAAAAAUAACCAUACAAAACUGAGAAAGAAAACACAUAGAGCAAGGACUCAAACCCACUAAUCAUUAUUGGUCAUUAAGACUUCCCAGAUAUUAAAAGAAAUCUGUUAUGCAGUAGGUGUGCUUGAGUUUUAACCCAGGUGUAACCCAGGUGUUUUACCUUACAUGCUUUUUUUCAAAUGAUAGAACUAGAAGUAAAUCAAUCAAUCUGAUAACAAACUAAAUGCUGUACUCAACAGACCGUUUCAUAAUAAUGUACUGUAAAUAAAUGCUUUGGUUAUCUGCAUUGAGGAUCUGCUUUUGCUAAGGAUAUAUUAUGUUUACUGUAACAUAAAAGUGUAGGUGUAAUGCAUGAAUCACAUACACCAGAAUAAUGAUCUUUGUAUCCGUUUCUAAGCAACUAGUGUGCCAGUUAUACAAGCAUUAACAUAUAUUGAUACUGUACAUUUGUUCACUGACAGGUCCUGACAAUGGCUGCAUGGACCUGCAGGCAGUCUGCAAUGUUUUAUUACCAACCCCCAAUUAGACAAGUACUUAGAUUGCUUUUAUAACUUGUCAGUUAUAAAAGUCUACCACAGUAUUUUUGCAGUUUUCCCAUGGUGAUACUAUACAUUUCCCAUGGUUUGCCAUGUUUUUUUUAAUAUGCUUUACCAUACCUCUGUGAGCUUUAAAUGUAUACCUAUGUUUUACUAUGCUUUUCACUACCAUUUAUUACAUUUUGCUAUGCUUUACUGUGGUACACUUUUAGAAGGGGUGGGAUUUCAUCUUGUCAUUUCCCACGAUUCCUGUUCUGCACCUCUGUCCUUUCUGGGAAAUGUGUUAUUCUAAUAUGUCUAAAUGUGUAUUUGUUUUCCACACCUUGAUAAAUGUAAGAUUACUCAAAUAUUCAAACCCUACCUCUGCCACUAAACUGCAUUCACACAUAGUAAUAACCAGCAGAAGGGAUAGAACCUUGGUCAUCUUUCCUUAGUUUACAGUGUUGUGUGGUAAAACCAAUGCAGUCAUUCUAAGGAGGUACUUUUUACAGUUGCGCAAUACUGGUUUUUUUUUUCUUUUUUUGGGUGAUUUCAGGAGGCCGUCUUCUGUCUACGACAGGAAACUAGACUUGAUGUAAUGUGUGUUGGAUCAGCCAACACCUCUUUAUAUUAGUAAGCACCAGCACCAUCUAGUGCAAAGCAGUCUAUUGCUAAUAAAACAUAGGAAACGUCCAAAGUGGCAGCUCACUGGAGUGUGCUGGACUUGCUUCCAUGAAACACUGAGCUACUGUAAGCUAAGUGACCGGCGACUAGAAGUGAGAAUCAGCUCCUCAACUGUUUCAAAAACCCAGUAUCCGAGUCAUUGCAAUAAGAACCGCUCAGAACGACUGCAAACAGCAUGCAAAGCUAAGGGGAGCGUAACGAAACACUUUCAAUAACAGGUCACCAGCAGGCUGAUUAACCUCUUGUAACAAUUGUAUUUGGGUGACUGUUCAUGAAGAUAUAGCAUUGAGAGGCUGCAAAAGUACAGUACUGUACCCUCAAGAACAAGUUCCAUCACAGCUGUAUGAACAUAUAGCAACAGGUGUAUGCACAGUAUGGCAUGCUUACACAAGCAUAGCCACAUGCGUGCCCCCAUUCCUGUCACCAAGGAUACUCGCACCCCCAUUAAGAUCAUUUGAAAGGCCUUGGUUUGAGCCUUGCAAUGACUAUCUGUCCAGUGAGGCAUGGAGAGGACUGCUAGUUAAUGUACUCAGGUACAGGCCCUUACGUUUACUUCCUGGAACAAGGGCAGUUUUCACUAAAUGGACAAAAACUAAAUAUAAAUACUGUAGCACAGUGGUACUCAACUCUGGCCCUUGAGAUCCAUUCCAGUCCUAGUCUUUAUUCCAACCAGGUACUAAAUUAGUUAAUUGCCUCUUAGCAGGUUCCAUUAACUACAUUUCAAUGCAGUUUUACAGUGUUUUAAGGUCUGCAUGGCCUUACAGUGACACCCUAUAUCCUAUCCAGCUGGAGCACUAUAGGGCAAAAUCAAACAAAAGCAGUUUCUACAAUAUCAUAAUAUACUUUUAUUAAACUUAAUACCAUUACUGCUGUUUGUAUUAUCACGGUUGUAGCUAUCCAAUUAUUUCGAAUUGCCAUAGCUUAUUUUCGUCACUGCACGUCUCUGUAGGUUUUCAUGAUUAUGUAAGAAGUGUCAAUCAAUUGACCCCUAAUGAGUCGGUCUUGGUUGGUUAUGAUGUUUGUUGCUUAAGGCCAUUCAUUAUGUGUUGGCCAAUAACAUUCAAUGACAUCUGAGGAAUACAUGAGCCAGGCAUAUGGAAGAAGAGAAAUCACUGACUCAUAGCUCCUCUCGUUGCCAGAGAACUAAACCAGACAAAACUGCAACCUGAUGAAAAAAGGAAAUUGAAUUGUUGGACCCAAAAUAAUUAGUCGCUGGAGACGUUUUACUAUCUUUGGAGAAUAAAGCAGGCAGAAUAUCUUCUUAGAGCAGCAGCUAAUUGAAAAAAAAAAGAUGGAAUUAAAAUCUUAGGAUUAUUAGAGAUAGGCGGCAUACGUGCUUACCAGCAACCCUCUGAUGGUAUCAUUAUUGUUUACGUGUCUACAGCUUGUACAGCAUUGCAUGCACAGGAAAUCAGCAUUUGUAAAUACUGCAAUGUACUAGCUGUACAGUAGGCCAUCUACUGGCAGCAAAAUAUAACUGAUACUGUACUUCUGUUUCUUGUGCAUAUUUCAUAUAUUUUGUUACCAAAACAAUAAAUAUUUAAUUGUAUA